CUAAGUGAUGAGGUCUCUGCUGGGGACUCACAAAACACUGCCAACUUGGGAAUGUUCCCAGAUCUUCUGAGACUCUUGCCUUUUCCAGCACAUUUCCCUGAUGUUUUAGCAGUUGGGUACAUGCUGUGGACUGCUAUCCUUCUGCCCUCCAUGGGUUCCUUCCUCAAUCUUCGGACAUCACUAACCACACAGAAGGUCAUAAGCAUGAGUAGUGUGGAAACUUGACCUUCGCCUGCUUCUCCGCCCUGCAUCAUGUCCCAGAAGCUUCUAGACCAGCCACGUGUUUCACCGUCUUCUCCUGUCGGACAUCUGCACUCAAGGGCUUGGCAAACAAGCUUGUCUGCUACCUGACUCCUUCCCUGCUUCCUCUGAUUCCCUCUUGCACCCUAGUUGGUCUUCCCUCUACAGUGACGGGUGGCCUGGCUACAUGUCAUAGAACUUCAUUGUAUCAGUUCUGUGUACACCCAGUUGAAAUAAACUUGAGUUAAAAACACAAA